UCCCAGAGGAGGUGAGACUCCAACACAGCACAAGUGGCUUAUUUGACAAGGCUACAAAUGUGUCCAUGGAGAUCAAGUUCAAAACCUUGCGGGUUCACUCUCAUCAUGCUCCACCCUGGCAGAAUCGCUGCCCACUCAACCCAAAACCCACAGGUUUUUGAGACCCAAUCCCAGUGAGAUGUCAUAUCCUGAAGUACAUGGAAAGGUGAUAAGGCCCACUGUACCUGUAGAAGACCACACCCUGAUUUCCUUUGUCAGCUUAAACUGCUUCAGAUCCAGAGUAACAAGGACUCCAUUCUCCUUUAAACUUGUGCACAGGAAAUGACAUUAAACAACCUUGAAUCUUCAAUCUUGAAUCUUGGAUUGAGUCGCUGCCCCAUAACUCUCUGAUGAAAUAUUUGCAUUAACAAUAUAUUUGCUUAAACAAUGACUGCUGUUAACAGGAUUGGAUGAAAUUGCUCGGAAGUAUUCUUU